GGCCGCGCAGGUCGUCUGCGCCUGCGCCCGGGGCCCCACGACGGGGGCGGGGCCGCUGAGGAAAGGGGCGUCUCUCCCGCCAGCGCGCUGGGGGCGGAGCCGUGGGGCCGAGUGGUCCCGCGCCCCGCGGCCUGACCUCCCGGAACGCCGGGUCCCGUGACGUCACCUCGCCGUGACGCGCACGCUGUAGGAAAACUGAUUAAUUAAAAGGAUUUGCCGUAUAUCUUAUGACUCUUUACUGUAGCUGCGGGAGAUAGAUAAAGAUGAAUGCUAUGUCUCAUCCAAUACUGAAAAUUUGAAUUUUAGAAGACAUUUGCUAAGUCAAAUCACUUCAA